rnacentral:SRP_RNA from 1 species
UCCUCCCGGCCGGGGGGACAGAUCGGCCGGGUUUGUGUUACAAUGAGGGUUGGAAACUGAUGUCCGCGGUAAGGAGUUGACAGGGGACCCACGCAAAGGGAAGUUGUGAACCUGGUCAGGCCGGAAGGUGCAGCCAUAAGCAACGUACCCUUGUGCAGUGGAUUAUCCUCUGGCAGCCACCUGCCGCGGGCGCCUUUUUCAGGGAUGA